GACGAACGCUGGCGGCGUGCCUAACACAUGCAAGUCGAACGGAACUGUUUUGAAAGAUUUCUUCGGAAUGAAUUUGAUUUAGUUUAGUGGCGGACGGGUGAGUAACGCGUGAGUAACCUGCCUUCAAGAGGGGGAUAACAUUCUGAAAAGAAUGCUAAUACCGCAUGAUAUAUCGGAAUCACAUGGUUUUGAUAUCAAAGAUUUUAUCGCUUGAAGAUGGACUCGCGUCCGAUUAGUUAGUUGGUGAGGUAACGGCUCACCAAGACCGCGAUCGGUAGCCGGACUGAGAGGUUGAACGGCCACAUUGGGACUGAGACACGGCCCAGACUCCUACGGGAGGCAGCAGUGGGGGAUAUUGCGCAAUGGGGGCAACCCUGACGCAGCAACGCCGCGUGAAGGAUGAAGGUUUUCGGAUUGUAAACUUCUUUUAUUAAGGACGAAAAAUGACGG
rnacentral:rRNA from 1 species